rnacentral:rRNA from 1 species
UACGUAGGGGGCAAGCGUUGUCCGGAUUUACUGGGCGUAAAGAGCGUGUAGGCGGCCAGGUAGGUCUGCUGUGAAAACUCGAGGCUCAACCUCGAGACGUCGGCGGAAACCAUCUGGCUAGAGUCCGGAAGAGGAGAGUGGAAUUCCUGGUGUAGAGGUGAAAUGCGCAGAUAUCAGGAAGAACACCAAUGGCGAAAGCAGCUCUCUGGGACGGUACUGACGCUGAGACGCGAAAGCGUGGGGAGCGAACAGG